CCUACGGGUGGCAGCAGUGAGGAAUAUUGGGCAAUGGGGGCAACCCUGACCCAGCCAUGCCGCGUGAGUGAAGAAGGUCUUCGGUAUGUAAAACUCUUUCGGACGUGAAGCAGAUGACGGUACCGUCCACAGAAGCACCGGCAAACUACGUGCCAUCAGCCGCGGUAAUACGGAGGGAGCCGGCGUUAUCCGGAAUUACUGGGCGUAAGGGGGGUGUAGUCGGUUAUGUAAGUGCGCAGUGAAAGGCCUGGGCUCAACCCCGGGACUGCCAUUUAAACUGGGUAUCUAGAGUGAGGGAGAGGUAAGCGGAAUACGCGGUGUAGCGGUGAAAUGCGUAGAUAUUGGGUAGAACACCGGUGGCGAAGGCGGCUAGCUGGC
rnacentral:rRNA from 1 species